AUAUCUUUUCAGUUUUAUUAAAUGGAAUUUCACUAAGUUUCUUGUCGAUAAAGACGGGCAACCAGUUGCUCGUUAUGCACCAAACCACGAACCUCUGGCCAUUGAACCAGAUCUUCAGAAAUAUUUUUAAUCAGGACUAAUGCAUUUGAUUUAAAUCUCAUUGUGUAGAAAUAUGAUGGUUGACCAGAAAACCAUUACUUAUGGAUAGGUGAACUGGAUGACAAUUCUAUCACAUUGAAUAUUAAUUCAAAUGUUCAGACAUGAUUAUUUUUAAUAAACUCAUCGUUUUCAUUUAUUAUUAUUAUUUUUUGAAAAGUAUUAGUUAAAUAAAAUUUGAGCUGUAAUUUUAGUGAUUUGAUUAUUUAGUGAGAAUAAAUAAUUUUCAAUCUGUUU